UACUGUUUCACACAAGGAAGGACACAAGUCAUCCGUUUCCUCAAGUUCACGUCAGAGGGAUACAUAGCGAGACAGUCUCCGCUUGGACUGGCUGAGGAAAGUCUCCUAAAUGGCCCUGGAGAUGUUCUGACUGACUUUGGAGGCUUUUUGGACUGUUUUAUGCCCUCUAUUUAAAGACUUAAUUCUGUAUGUUCAGUCUGUAUGAUAAGUGAAUAAGUGAAUAAAAAGCUUUUGUUUUUAUGUGA